rnacentral:lncRNA from 1 species
AUAUCAAAUUUAAAAUUCUAUUCAGAUUUUAAUUUUUAAAUUUUAAUUUUAAAGUCAAAUUCAAAUUUUAAAAUAAAACCCAGUAAAAGGAAUUAUUAUUUGCAAAUAGCAUUUUUUUUUUUGCCAAAUAGCUUUUUAAAAUUAUUUCAGAAAAAUCACUUUCUUGCUGGACUCAGCCAAAUGCUUUACAAUUUUUAGCCAAAAUUAAAUUUCAAAAUCAAAAUUAAUUCUAAAAAAAUUACUUUUUCAGAAUCUAGUCCAAACAACUCUCAUGCGAUCACUCACCACUUGCGU